rnacentral:snRNA from 1 species
GCGUUCACCUCAGCAGCACAUAUACUAAAACUGGAAUGAUACAGAGAAGAUUAGCAUGGCCCCUGCCCAAGGAUGACAGACAAAUUUGUGAAUCAUUCCACAUUAAA